rnacentral:rRNA from 1 species
CCUACGGGGAGCAGCAGUGGGGGAUAUUGGACAAUGGGGGGAACCCUGAUCCAGCGACGCCGCGUGCGUGAAGAAGUAUUUCGGUAUGUAAAGCUCUGUCAGCAGGGAAGAAAGAAAUGACGGUACCUGACCAAGAAGCCCCGGCUAACUACGUGCCAGCAGCCGCGGUAAUACGGAGGGGGCAAGCGUUAUCCGGAAUUACUGGGUGUAAAGGGAGCGUAGACGGUUAAGUAAGUCUGGAGUGAAAGGCCGGGGCCCAACCCCGGGACUGCUCUGGAAACUAUUGAACUUGAGUGCAGGAGAGGUAAGCGGAAUUCCUAGUGUAGCGGUGAAAUGCGUAGAUAUUAGGAGGAACACCAGUGGCGAAGGCGGCUUACUGGACUGUAACUGACGUUGAGGCUCGAAAGCGUGGGGAGCAAACAGGAUUAGAUACCCGAGUAGUC